rnacentral:rRNA from 1 species
UACGGAGGGGGCUAGCGUUGUUCGGAAUUACUGGGCGUAAAGCGCGCGUAGGCGGACCUGCAAGUCGGGGGUGAAAGCCCGAGGCUCAACCUCGGAACUGCCUUCGAUACUGCGGGUCUCGAGUCCGGGAGAGGUGAGUGGAAUUCCUAGUGUAGAGGUGAAAUUCGUAGAUAUUCGCAAGAACACCGGUGGCGAAGGCGGCCAACUGGUCCGGAUCUGACGCUGAGGCGCGAAAGCGUGGGGAGCAAACAGG